GAUGAGCGCUGGCGGCGUGCUUAACACAUGCAAGUCGAACGAAGCAUUUGCGACAGAUUUUUUCGGAAUGAAGUUGCUUAUGACUGAGUGGCGGACGGGUGAGUAACGCGUGGGUAACCUGCCUUGUACUGGGGGAUAGCAGCUGGAAACGGCUGGUAAUACCGCAUAAGCGCACAAUGUUGCAUGACAUGGUGUGAAAAACUCCGGUGGUAUAAGAUGGACCCGCGUCUGAUUAGCUAGUUGGUGAGAUAACAGCCCACCAAGGCGACGAUCAGUAGCCGACCUGAGAGGGUGACCGGCCACAUUGGGACUGAGACACGGCCCAGACUCCUACGGGAGGCAGCAGUGGGGAAUAUUGCACAAUGGAGGAAACUCUGAUGCAGCGACGCCGCGUGAGUGAAGAAGUAAUUCGUUAUGUAAAGCUCUAUCAGCAGGGAAGAUAGUGACGGUACCUGACUAAGAAGCGCCGGCUAAAUACGUG
rnacentral:rRNA from 1 species